rnacentral:rRNA from 1 species
AACGAACGCUGGCGGCAGGCUUAAUACAUGCAAGUCGAACGGGCGCAGCAAUGCGUCAGUGGCAGACGGGUGAGUAACACGUGGGAACCUUCCUCGUUGUACGGAACAACUCAGGGAAACUUGAGCUAAUACCGUAUAAGUCCGAGAGGAGAAAGAUUUAUCGCAAUGAGACGGGCCCGCGUCGGAUUAGGUAGUUGGUGAGGUAACGGCUCACCAAGCCGACGAUCCGUAGCUGAUCUGAGAGGAUGAUCAGCCACACUGGGACUGAGACACGGCCCAGACUCCUACGGGAGGCAGCAGUGGGGAAUCUUGCGCAAUGCGCGAAAGCGUGACGCAGCAACGCCGCGUGGGAGACG